rnacentral:tRNA from 1 species
CAUAGCUCAGUUGGAUAGAGCGUCAGAUUCCGACUCUGAAGGCCGCAGGUUCGACUCCUGUUGG